rnacentral:rRNA from 1 species
CGGUUUACCAGUUGUGCCGCCAGGCGCACCGCUGGGUAUCUGAGUCUGGAUUGGAUAAGCGCUGAAAGCAUCUAAGUGCGAAGCCAGCCGCAAGAUGAGAACUCCAUUGAGGGUCGUCAGAGACGAUGACGUUGAUAGGAUGCAGGUGUAAAGACAGCGAUGUCAAAGCCGAGCAUUACUAAUUGCCCGAACACUUUCUUUAA